CCUAGCGGAUCGGGGCUUUCCUGCCAGCGGAGCCGGUCCGAUUCCGGGCAGAAGGCGCCGCCGGGGCUGGACGCUCCCUGCAGCCCCGGGGGAGGCGCUGGGCCCGCGGCGCUUCCGAGGGGGGCCGGGCGGGCGGACCCUUCCGCGCUCCCGGGGCGCCCGCCCGUCGCGGAGGCGCGCGUGCACGGCCGUGUGUGUCCGUGUGCGCGUCCGUGUGUGUCCCUGCGCGUGUUGGGCGUUCGGGACUCCGUGGGCCCCAGCUCGACCCGUUUCUCGGCCGAUGGCAGCAACAGGGUCCCUGACCGGCUCCUGCCGACCUGGGGCACGACGUCUGGCAAGGGAACAAGAAAGGAAACCCAUCGUCCCAGCCCCUGGUACCUCACGGCUAUUUGCAGCCUAUUGGAGCACUGCCUGGAGCACCGCCCGGGGAUGCCCCCCCCCCACCCCCUGCGGAGGGCCAGCCUGCCUUCCUGGGUCCUGCCCUCUGGCUCUCUGGCUUCUGUUUCUUCUUUGAGGGCUCAGCAGACACUGUGCCUCUUGAGGAGCUAGGCUAUCACGAUGCCUCUGUCGAGUGGAGGGAUGGCCGGCCGGGCUGCGUUCGGGAAGAGAAAGGUCCUGGGACACUGUCGGACAAGGAAGCAAAGGGAGGGGGAAGGUCUGCCAAUAAUCGUGCCUCGGUUUCGAAGUCACAGAAUGGGCGUCAGAGAUAACAGCGAUGUGACCUUCAGAGCCACUUGAGUUGCCUGAGACUUGGGUUUUUCCCCAGAAUGACAAUGACGUGUGCCUCCGGUUUCACACGGGGACACAAAAAUCAUCGGGCAAAGUGCUUUUGGAACGUGGGCUCAGGCGUCAGACUGCCCGGCUUCCACCUUCCUCAGGAGGCUGAACGCGUAACCUUGGACGAGUUCAUCAUUCUCUCUAGGCCUCAGUUUCCCCACCUAUAAAAUGGAGACGGUCCUGGAAAUCCCGGGCUGAGCAGAUUAGGUAGGACAGUCUCAGCAUCAGCCAGGGCGGGGAAGGCCUCCUCCACGGUCACUCUGCUCAGUAAGAACUCAGGGAGAUUCUGAUUGGACUUCUCUGUGGGAAGAGUAGUUACGGGAAACGCAAAGUCCCCCAGAAUGAGCACAGUCCUUUAAAAAAAUUUUUUUUAAUAUUUUAUUUAUUUUUGAGAGAGCAUGAGCUGGGGGAGGACAGAGAGAGAGGGGGACAGAAGAUCUGAUGUGGG